rnacentral:rRNA from 1 species
UACGGAGGGUGCAAGCGUUAUCCGGAUUCACUGGGUUUAAAGGGUGUGUAGGCGGGGAUUUAAGUCAGUGGUGAAAUCUCCGGGCUCAACCCGGAAACUGCCAUUGAUACUAUUUAUCUUGAAUAUUGUUGAGGUAGGCGGAAUAUAUCAUGUAGCGGUGAAAUGCUUAGAUAUGAUAUAGAACACCGAUUGCGAAGGCAGCUUACUAAACAAUUAUUGACGCUGAGGCACGAAAGCGUGGGGAUCAAACAGG